UGCUGGAGUUUUUCAUGCUUCUCUGGACAGU
rnacentral:piRNA from 2 species